UGCUCAGUAGGUGCGUUGAAUCCUAGUCUCUGCUGUGCCAUCGGGACCGUCGAGGCUGGGAGAUGGAGGGAAAGGCUGGAGUGCUUGCAGAAGAUUCUGUGAUUCUAGAUAAUAAAAGAUAUUAUGUACCGGCUCCUGAAUAUAACAGGCAGCAUUGUCAGACCUGAGGCACACGGCUGCAGGGCUUUUUCUGAGAUCUGUAACCAGAUGGCUUGCACCCCAUGAGAGGAGUCAAAAAGGUGAAUGGCAGUGAUCUAAAGAAAAUCUUGAGAAAUGAAUGGA